GACGAACGCUGGCGGCGUGCUUAACACAUGCAAGUCGAACGAUGAAGCCGGAGCUUGCUCUGGUGAAUUAGUGGCGAACGGGUGAGUAACACGUGAGUAACCUGCCCUUGACUCUGGGAUAACUGCUAGAAAUGGUAGCUAAUACCGGAUACGACCCUCGGAGGCAUCUGCAGGGGGUGGAAAGAAUUUCGGUCAAGGAUGGACUCGCGGCCGAUCAGCUAGUUGGUGAGGUAAUGGCUCACCAAGCCGACGACGGGGAGCCGGCCUGCGAGGGUGACCGGCCACACGGGGACUGAGACACGGCCCAGACUCCUACGGGAGGCAGCAGUGGGGAAUAUUGCACGAUGGGCGCAAGCCUGAUGCAGCAACGCCGCGUGAGGGAUGACGGCCUUCGGGUUGUAAACCUCUUUUAGUAGGGAAGAAGCGAAAGUGACGGUACCUGCAGAAAAAGCACCGGCUAACUACGUGCCAGCAGCCGCAGUAA
rnacentral:rRNA from 1 species